CUUCCGAUGGCGACCGGCGCACGGGUGAGUAACACGUAUCCAACCUGCCGAUAACUCGGGGAUAGCCUUUCGAAAGAAAGAUUAAUAUCCGAUAGGAUAUCAAGGUCGCAUGAUCUUGAUAUUAAAGAAUUUCGGUUAUCGAUGGGGACGCGUUCCAUUAGUUAGUUGGCGGGGUAACGGCCCACCAAGACGACGAUGGAUAGGGGUUCUGAGAGGAAGGUCCCCCACAUUGGAACUGAGACACGGUCCAAACUCCUACGGGAGGCAGCAG
rnacentral:rRNA from 1 species